rnacentral:tRNA from 1 species
GGAGAGGUGUCCGAGUGGUCGAAGGAGCACGCCUGGAGAGCGUGUAGGCGCUUUGCGUCUCCUGGGUUCGAAUCCCAGUCUCUCCG